rnacentral:rRNA from 1 species
UACAGAGGGGGCAAGCGUUGUUCGGAAUUACUGGGCGUAAAGGGCGCGUAGGCGGCCACCUAAGUCAGACGUGAAAUCCCUCGGCUCAACCGGGGAACUGCGUCUGAUACUGGGCGGCUUGAAUUCGGGAGAGGGAUGCGGAAUUCCAGGUGUAGCGGUGAAAUGCGUAGAUAUCUGGAGGAACACCGGUGGCGAAGGCGGCAUCCUGGACCGACAUUGACGCUGAGGCGCGAAAGCGUGGGGAGCAAACAGG